CAAUAAKCGGAGGAAAAGAAACCAACAGGGAUUGCCCUAGUAACGGCGAGUGAAGCGGCAACAGCUCAAAUUUGAAAUCUGGCCUUCGGGUCCGAGUUGUAAUUUGUAGAGGAUGCUUUUGGCGCGGUGCCUUCCGAGUUCCCUGGAACGGGACGCCUUAGAGGGUGAGAGCCCCGUACGGUUGGACACCAAGCCUCUGUAUAGCUCCUUCGACGAGUCGAGUAGUUUGGGAAUGCUGCUCUAAAUGGGAGGUAAAUUUCUUCUAAAGCUAAAUAUUGGCCAGAGACCGAUAGCGCACAAGUAGAGUGAUCGAAAGAUGAAAAGCACUUUGAAAAGAGGGUUAAAUAGCACGUGAAAUUGUUGAAAGGGAAGCGUUUGCGACCAGACCUUUUCCUAGCGGAUCAUCCGGUGUUCUCACCGGUGCACUUCGCUAGGUUUAGGCCAGCAUCGGUUUCUGUAGGGGGAUAAAAGCUCUGGGAACGUAGCUCCUUCGGGAGUGUUAUAGCCCUCUGCAUAAUACCUUUACGGGGACCGAGGACCGCGCUUCGGCAAGGAUGCUGGCGUAAUGGUCGUCAACGACCCGUCUUGAAACACGGACCAAGGAGUCGAACAUUUGUGCGAGUGUUUGGGUGUUAAACCCUCACGCGUAAUGAAAGUGAACGGAGGUGAGAGCCCUUACGGGUGCAUCAUCGACCGAUCCUGAUGUCUUCGGAUGGAUUUGAGUAAGAGCAUAACUGUUCGGACCCGAAAGAUGGUGAACUAUGCGUGGAUAGGGUGAAGCCAGAGGAAACUCUGGUGGAGGCUCGCAGCGGUUCUGACGUGCAAAUCGAUCGUCAAAUCUGCGCAUGGGGGCGAAAGACUUAUCGARCCAUCUACCGUAGCUGGUACCGCGAGAUUUC
rnacentral:rRNA from 1 species